GUGAACCUGUGAAACAAUGGGUUAGUGUGGCUGACUGUUAACCAGAAGGUUGGUGGUUCAAGCCCAUCCAGGGACA